UAAAAUAUCGCCGGUUUAUCUCUGUUUUUAUCAGAAUGAAUUGGAGAGACAUCGGAUCAACGAGCUCAGGCGACGAUUUUUCCAUGAAAACGGUUCAAACCUGCAGGAUUUUCAUGAGCAAGAUGUAAAACGAGUCCGCGAUGACGAUCAUUGGUUGAGUUGCUUUCUUAAAUCUCGUAAACAGGAAGUAAAUGAUGCGUUACCAGCCUUGGUGGAAUGCGUAAAAUGGAGGAAGUCAUUUGGAGUGAAUGACCUUACAGAGAGAUCUGUUGACCGCAGAUUGCUUGAGGCUGGUUUCCUCUUUCCAUAUAAUCAGGACAAAGAUGGCAACACUCUCGUCAUCUUCACUGGAAAACUUUACAGAAAAGAUCCUCAACAACAUCCAGAAGUAAAGAGACUUCUUGUUUUUCUCUUAGAGAGGCAUG